rnacentral:rRNA from 1 species
UAAUACGAAGGGGGCUAGCGUUGUUCGGAAUCACUGGGCGUAAAGGGCGCGUAGGCGGCGCGACAAGUCAGGCGUGAAAGCCCCGGGCUCAACCCGGGAAUUGCGCUUGAUACUGUCGUGCUUGAGGCCGGGAGAGGAUGGCGGAAUUCCCAGUGUAGAGGUGAAAUUCGUAGAUAUUGGGAAGAACACCGGUGGCGAAGGCGGCCAUCUGGACCGGUUCUGACGCUGAGGCGCGAAAGCGUGGGGAGCAAACAGGAUUAGAUACCCUGGUAGUCCACGCCGUAAACGAUGAGUGCUAGACGUCGGGGGGUUCACCCUCCGGUGUCGCAGCUAACGCUUUAAGCACUCCGCCUGGGGAGUACGGUCGCAAGAUUA